rnacentral:tRNA from 1 species
GCCGGCGUGGCGGAGCGGUCAAACGCGACGGCCUUGAGAGCCGUUGUCCGAAAGGACGCGCAGGUUCAAAUCCUGUCGCCGGCG